AGGAAUCUGCCUAUUAAUGGGGGACAACAUCUCGAAAGGGAUGCUAAUACCGCAUACGCCCUACGGGGGAAAGCAGGGGAUCACUUGUGACCUUGCGUUAAUAGAUGAGCCUAAGUCGGAUUAGCUAGUUGGUGGGGUAAAGGCCUACCAAGGCGACGAUCUGUAGCGGGUCUGAGAGGAUGAUCCGCCACACUGGGACUGAGACACGGCCCAGACUCCUACGGGAGGCAGCAGUGGGGAAUAUUGGACAAUGGGGGGAACCCUGAUCCAGCCAUGCCGCGUGUGUGAAGAAGGCCUUAUGGUUGUAAAGCACUUUAAGCGAGGAGGAGGCUCUCUUGGUUAAUACCCAAGAUGAGUGGACGUUACUCGCAGAAUAAGCACCGGCUAACUCUGUGCCAGCAGCCGCGGUAAUACAGAGGGUGCGAGCGUUAAUCGGAUUUACUGGGCGUAAAGCGUGCGUAGGCGGCUUUUUAAGUCGGAUGUGAAAUCCCCGAGCUUAACUUGGGAACUGCAUUCGAUACUGGGAAGCUAGAGUAUGGGAGAGGAUGGUAGAAUUCCAGGU
rnacentral:rRNA from 1 species